rnacentral:rRNA from 1 species
GCCUACGGGAGGCAGCAGUAGGGAAUUUUCGUCAAUGGGCGCAAGCCUGAACGAGCAAUGCCGCGUGAACGAGGAAGGUCUUUGGAUCGUAAAGUUCUGUUGAAGGGGAAAAAGAGCGGAGAGAGGAAAUGCUUUCUGAUUGAUAUUACCCUUCGAGGAAGUCACGGCUAACUACGUGCCAGCAGCCGCGGUAAUACGUAGGUGGCGAGCGUUAUCCGGAAUGAUUGGGCGUAAAGGGUGCGUAGGCGGCCUGCUAAGUCUGGAGUGAAAGGUACCGGCUCAACCGGUACAGGCUCUGGAAACUG